rnacentral:rRNA from 1 species
GAUGAACGCUGGCGGCGUGCCUAAUACAUGCGAGUCGAGCGAACAGACGAGGAGCUUGCUCCUCUGACGUUAGCGGCGGACGGGUGAGUAACACGUGGAUAACCUACCUAUAAGACUGGGAUAACUUCGGGAAACCGGAGCUAAUACCGGAUAAUAUAUUGAACCGCAUGGUUCAAUAGUGAAAGACGGUUUUGCUGUCACUUAUAGAUGGAUCCGCGCCGCAUUAGCUAGUUGGUAAGGUAACGGCUUACCAAGGCAACGAUGCGUAGCCGACCUGAGAGGGUGAUCGGCCACACUGGAACUGAGACACGGUCCAGACUCCUACGGGAGGCAGCAGUAGGGAAUCUUCCGCAAUGGGCGAAAGCCUGACGGAGCAACGCCGCGUGAGUGAUGAAGGUCUUCGGAUCGUAAAACUCUGUUAUUAGGGAAGAACAAAUGUGUAAGUAACUAUGCACGUCUUGACGGUACCUAAUCAGAAAGCUACGGCUAACUACGUG